GACAAAUGAGGACAGAGUCCUGCACAUUAAAUGACCAGUCAGUGUAAUUUAGAAUUCCUGAUAUUUUACUUUCCAUUGGGUAGAAGUGAGGGCUGUUGUACUGAAAAUGAUGUUGUAGUAUAAAGAGAGUGUAUGGCACAUGAUGACAUAAUCCCAGAUGAAAAAGGU